AGGACGAACGCUGGCGGCGUGCUUAACACAUGCAAGUCGAGCGAGGCUCUCCUUCGGGAGAUGUCCUAGCGGCGAACGGGUGAGUAACACGUGGGCAACCUGCCUCUAGCUCUGGGAUAACUCCGGGAAACCGGGGCUAAUACCGGAUACGACCUCGAGCGGCAUCUAUCGAGGUGGAAAGUUUUUCGGCUAGAGAUGGGCCCGCGGCCUAUCAGCUUGUUGGUGAGGUAACGCCCACCAAGGCGACGACGGGUA
rnacentral:rRNA from 1 species